rnacentral:lncRNA from 1 species
GUAGGUUAAUUAUUUAAUUUUAGUUUUAAGGACCAGAGCACUCUGGAAAAUUAAUAUAGUUAGUUAUAGGUUAUAUGUGACGGCCAGAAAUUAAGAGAUGAGAGAAGAAAGAGAACACAAGAGAAUUUAUCCUGGUUCGCCUAACCGGCUACGUCCAGUCCCCACACUACGUGUGAGAUUAUCCACUAUAGUAUCCUGCUAUCAGAAACUUCUGAAUAGCACUAUAAUAUGUUGAUCACACCAGAUCAGUC